GAUGAACGCUGGCGGCGUGCCUAAUACAUGCAAGUCGAGCGAACAGACGUGGAGCUUGCUCCUCUGACGUUAGCGGCGGACGGGUGAGUAACACGUGGAUAACCUACCUAUAAGACUGGGAUAACUUCGGGAAACCGGAGCUAAUACCGGAUAAUAUAUUGAACCGCAUGGUUCAAUAGUGAAAGACGGUUUUGCUGUCACUUAUAGAUGGAUCCGCGCCGCAUUAGCUAGUUGGUAAGGUAACGGCUUACCAAGGCAACGAUGCGUAGCCGACCUGAGAGGGUGAUCGGCCACACUGGAACUGAGACACGGUCCAGACUCCUACGGGAGGCAGCAGUAGGGAAUCUUCCGCAAUGGGCGAAAGCCUGACGGAGCAACGCCGCGUGUGUGAUGAAGGUCUUCGGAUCGUAAAACUCUGUUAUUAGGGAAGAACAAAUGUGUAAGUAACUAUGCACGUCUUGACGGUACCUAAUCAGAAAGCCACGGCUAACUACGUG
rnacentral:rRNA from 1 species